UACAGAGGGGGCAAGCGUUGUUCGGAAUUACUGGGCGUAAAGGGCGCGUAGGCGGCCUACUAAGUCGAACGUGAAAUCCCCGGGCUUAACCCGGGAACUGCGUCCGAUACUGGUUGGGCUUGAAUCCGGGAGAGGGAUGUGGAAUUCCAGGUGUAGCGGUGAAAUGCGUAGAUAUCGGGAAGAACACCCGUGGCUAAGGCGGCUCUCUAGUACGGUACUGACGCUGAGACGCGAAAGCGUGGGGAGCGAACAGG
rnacentral:rRNA from 1 species